AUUGAACGCUGGCGGCAGGCUUAACACAUGCAAGUCGAGCGGAGAUGAGGUGCUUGCACCUUAUCUUAGCGGCGGACGGGUGAGUAAUGCUUAGGAAUCUGCCUAUUAGUGGGGGACAACAUUCCGAAAGGAAUGCUAAUACCGCAUACGUCCUCCGGGAGAAAGCAGGGGAUCUUCGGACCUUGCGCUAAUAGAUGAGCCUAAGUCGGAUUAGCUAGUUGGUGGGGUAAAGGCCUACCAAGGCGACGAUCUGUAGCGGGUCUGAGAGGAUGAUCCGCCACACUGGGACUGAGACACGGCCCAGACUCCUACGGGAGGCAGCAGUGGGGAAUAUUGGACAAUGGGGGGAACCCUGAUCCAGCCAUGCCGCGUGUGUGAAGAAGGCCUUAUGGUUGUAAAGCACUUUAAGCGAGGAGGAGGCUACUGAGACUAAUACUCUUGGAUAGUGGACGUUACUCGCAGAAUAAGCACCGGUUAACUCUGUGCCAGCCGCCGCAGUAAAAC
rnacentral:rRNA from 1 species